UUGUUCUGAAUAUUGCAGGUGGGCAUCACGGAGUUCCUGGCAGGGGUAGGGUGGCGAGAACAAUUAUUGUAGCAAAAAAGAAAAUGUGUGCUAGAUAUGGGAGAUGAUUUUUUUUUUCCUUCAAAAAUUCUUUGUUCACAGAAGGUAUGUAAGGACAAUCACACCUUCAGAAUUAGAACUUGUGGUGUCUUCCAUUUGAGAUCCUGGAUCCAUUGCAACGCUGGAUCUAUGAACAUAAAGUUUGAUUCAAGAAAAUAAAUAAAAUUGAAGCACUGUAAUCCUAUUUCUUUUCUUUUUUGAA